CCCCGUCCGGCCCAGCCCCGAGAGCUUUCCUCCCCGGCCGGGAAUGAGGCUGGGAGGCGGCCGCGCUGGGCUCAGCACAAAGGCUUGUCCUCAGGGGCCGCCGCCUCCGCUGCCUCUGCUGCCUCUGCUGCCGCCCGCCUAGAACCACCCGCCGAAGCUGAACCGGCGCCAGAGCCCUCGUCCCCGCCGGUCCCCAGGGGAGGCUGCUGCUGCCCGUCCCCUCGAGGCCCAGAGGCCCUAGCUCCGAGCCCUUUGCUCUCUCGGCAGCUGGGGGACCGGGCAGCCGCGCAGCCUUUGCCGCUCCCGGCUUUGGGGGCACCGCGGAGCAUGUCCGAGGAGAGUGACAUGGAGAAAGCCAUCAAGGAAACUUCCAUUUUAGAAGAAUACAAUAUCAAUUGGACUCAGAAGCUGGGAGCUGGAAUUAGUGGUCCAGUUAGAGUCUGUGUGAAGAAAUCUACCCAAGAGCGAUUUGCACUGAAAAUUCUUCUUGAUCGUCCAAAAGCUCGAAAUGAGGUACGUCUGCACAUGAUGUGUGCUACACACCCAAAUAUAGUUCAGAUUAUUGAAGUGUUUGCUAACAGUGUACAGUUUCCUCAUGAGUCCAGCCCCAGAUAGCUUUGGCUCUACAGCACUGUCACUUGUUAAACAUCGCACACAGAGACCUCAAGCCUGAAAAUCUGCUUUUCAAGGAUAACUCUUUGGAUGCUCCAGUGAAGUUGUGUGACUUUGGAUUUGCCAAAAUUGACCAAGGUGAUUUGAUGACACCCCAGUUCACCCCUUAUUAUGUAGCACCUCAGGUACUAGAGGCGCAGAGAAGACACCAGAAGGAGAAGUCUGGCAUCAUACCUACCUCACCAACGCCAUACACUUAUAACAAGAGCUGUGACUUGUGGUCCCUAGGAGUGAUUAUUUAUGUGAUGCUGUGCGGAUACCCUCCUUUUUACUCCAAACACCACAGCCGGACUAUCCCAAAGGAUAUGCGAAGAAAGAUCAUGACAGGCAGUUUUGAGUUCCCAGAGGAAGAGUGGAGUCAGAUUUCGGAGAUGGCCAAAGAUGUCGUGAGAAAGCUCCUGAAAGUCAAACCAGAGGAAAGACUCACCAUUGAGGGAGUGUUGGACCACCCCUGGCUCAACUCGACUGAGGCCCUGGAUAACGUGCUACCCUCUGCUCAACUGAUGAUGGAUAAGGCGGUGGUUGCAGGAAUCCAGCAGGCUCAUGCAGAGCAACUGGCCAACAUGAGAAUCCAAGAUCUAAAAGUCAGCCUCAAACCCCUGCACUCAGUGAACAACCCCAUUCUGCGGAAGAGGAAGUUACUUGGCACCAAGCCAAAGGAUGGUGUUUAUAUCCACGACCAUGAGAAUGGAGCCGAGGAUUCAAAUGUUGCUUUGGAAAAGCUCCGAGAUGUGAUUGCUCAGUGUAUUCUUUCCCAGGCUGGAGAGAAUGAAGAUGAGAAGCUGAAUGAAGUAAUGCAGGAGGCUUGGAAGUAUAACCGGGAAUGCAAACUCCUAAGAGAUACUCUGCAAAGCUUCAGCUGGAAUGGUCGUGGAUUCACAGAUAAAGUAGAUCGACUAAAACUGGCAGAAAUUGUGAAGCAAGUGAUAGAAGAGCAAACCAUGUCCCAUGAAUCUCAAUAGUGACAGCUUCAAACAUUGUUUUUUGUUGUUUUUUUUUAACAAUUUGAAAAAUUAUUCUUUAAUGUAUAAAGUACUUUUUAUGUAAAUUAAUAAAUCAUAAUUUCAUC